CAUGAUGGACUAUAGGACAGGACUGCUGCUUUUAACUCUCUGCUGGGCAGGUGUUGAUGGUCAGACUCUGACAGAAUCAGAACCAGCGAUUAAAAGACCUGGAGAAUCCCACAGAUUGACCUGUACAAUAUCUGGAUUCACAUUCAGCAGCUACUAUAUGGCCUGGGUCAGACAGGCUCCUGGAAAAGGACUGGAGUGGAUCGCUCGCAUAAGCACAUCUAGUACUUAUCUCUAUUACUCCCAGUCAGUCCGGGGGAGAUUCACCAUCUCCAGAGAUGACUCCAGCAGUAAACUCUAUCUGCAGAUGAACAGUCUGAAGACCGAGGACACAGCAGUGUAUUACUGUGCACGAGAGACACAGUGAGAGACGAUAAUAGGAGAGUCAUACAAAAAGUACUUCCUCUUUUUUUUCACCACCACAGACAUUCAGCUGUCUCAGUCUCACCUUUUUGCCAUACUGCUGAUAAGUUCUCUGUAUUAGUGUGGUUAAACUGUGUCCACAUGUCUUCACAAGUACCUGCAUGAAGAUC